rnacentral:rRNA from 1 species
GACGAACGCUGGCGGCAUGCCUAACACAUGCAAGUCGAACGAGACCGUCGGGUCUGGGGUCGCACGGGUGCGUACCGCGUGGUAACCUGCGCUUAGGCUCGGCAUAACUCCCCGAUAGGGCUGCUAAUACCGGAUAAUUUCUUCGUACGUAAGAUUUAUCGCCUUUGGGUGGGCCCGCGUUGGAUUAGCUAGUUGUUAGGGUAAAGGCAUACCAAGGCGUCGAUCCGUAGCUGGUCGGAGAGGAUGCACAGCGACACUGGGACGGAGACCCGACCCAGACGCGUACGGGAGGCAGCGGUGGGUGAUAUUGGAGCAUGAGCCAGAGGCUGAUCCAGCGCGGGCGGGUGAGUGAUCAAGGGGUUAGAGUUGUAAAGCAGCAUUGACCGGGAUUAUAAUGACAGUACCUGGAGAAUAAGCACCGGCUAACUACGUG